rnacentral:misc_RNA from 1 species
AUGGGAAGUACUCACACUUCUCAUAUUUUUCCUCCAAAAGUUCUUAAACGCCACCCAAUCUCCGACCAUUAUUUUACCUUUCAAAUCUUCCGAACAAAAUCCAAAACCCUAAAAAUCAAUUUUUCAUUCUCAAUCUUCCCAUUUUUUGCCCUAAACUUUUCAAUUUAUUCCCUGUAAGUCCCUUUCCUCCAUGAAUUUCCCCUUUUACAAACCCUAAAGAGCCAAAAAAAUCCACAAUUCACAAUGUCGGAGCAGCCGAUAAUCACUCACGUCUCCGAUACGAGUCCGUUAACCCGGGCGACGAGUUCCCGGUCGGUGACGGAAACGGUAAACGGUUCACACCGGUUUGUGAUUCAGGGGUAUUCUUUGGCGAAAGGAAUGGGAGUUGGGAAACACAUCGCGAGUGAUACUUUCACCGUUGGUGGACAUCAAUGGGCUAUUUACUUUUAUCCCGAUGGGAAAAAUCCUGAGGAUAAUUCAACGUAUGUGUCACUUUUUAUUGCGUUGGCGAGUGAAGGAACGGAUGUUAGGGCUUUGUUUGAAUUGACGUUGGUUGAUCAGAGUGGUAAAGAGAAGCAUAAGGUUCAUAGUCAUUUUGAUCGGUCACUUGAAAGUGGACCAUAUACAUUGAAAUACCGCGGCAGCAUGUGGGGAUACAAACGUUUCUUUAGACGAGCUUUACUUGAGAAUUCAGAUUAUCUCAAGGAUGAUUGUUUGAAAAUCAACUGUACUGUGGGAGUUGUUCGUUCUACAAUUGAUAUCGCGAGCUUACAGCCAAUCCAGGUUCCAGGUUCUGAUAUGGGAUCACACUUUGGAAUGCUAUUAGAGAAUAUGGAAGGCACUGAUGUUGUUUUCAGCGUGGCUGGUGAAAAAUUUCAUGCCCAUAAGCUGGUAUUAACUGCUCGUUCUCCUGUAUUUCGCACUGAAUUGUUUGAUGAACUGAUGGGCGAUAAGCAGG